rnacentral:lncRNA from 1 species
AAAUGGAGCAACAACAGUAACCUAUAUAUACUGGAAGCUAACAGACGUCUGGUCCUUUCAGUCACUGUGCUCGUUGUGAGACAGAGGUGGACAGACAGUUAUUUUUUUAGUUAUUAAAAGUACAGAAUGAGCAUUUCAGUCAUCUCAUACAACAUGAUCUCUUUGGAUCAUAUGCCAGUUGGUGAGCACCUGGAUGAGUCAGCUGGAGGAUGAUGGCUGUAUUGGAUGUGAAGUAUGAUGUCCUAAUGAUGCUUUAACACCAUGAGCUGUUAUUUGAAGGCAUGUGUGAUCCUAGAGGGCUCCUCUACCAAGUCUCCAGGAACAUGUUUAAGCUUAGGGUGAGUGGAGCUGUGAGACGUUGCUGUGUCAUCAUGGCCAGAAUGGAUGAAUGCAGAUGAGGGCAAGGACGGAGUUUGAAGCAGUGGAACAUAUUCUCCCUCUACCUGAUACAACUUUAUUGUUUCAGUUUCCCAUGUAUGUGUUCUCCAUUGAAGAGAAGACAGGAAUUCUUGUCACCUUCUAUACAUGUAAUGUGUCACACCACUUGUUUACUAAAUAAAGCUAUUCAGAUCA